rnacentral:rRNA from 1 species
UACGGAGGGUGCAAGCAUUGAUCGGAAUUACUGGGCGUAAAGGGCGCGUAGGCGGUUUGAAAAGUCAGGUGUGAAAUUCCGGGGCUCAACCUCGGAGCGGCACUUGAAACUUUCAGACUUGAGUGUAGUUAGGGAAAACGGAAUUCCACGUGUAGCGGUGAAAUGCGUAGAUAUGUGGAAGAACACCAGUGGUGAAGACGGUUUUCUGGGCUAUAACUGACGCUGAGGCGCGAAAGCAAGGGGAGCAAACAGG